UAGAGUUUGAUCCUGGCUCAGAACGAACGCUGGCGGCAUGCCUAACACAUGCAAGUCGAACGAAGGCUUCGGCCUUAGUGGCGCACGGGUGCGUAACGCGUGGGAAUCUGCCCUUAGGUUCGGAAUAACAGCUGGAAACGGCUGCUAAUACCGGAUGAUAUCGCGAGAUCAAAGAUUUAUCGCCUGAGGAUGAGCCCGCGUUGGAUUAGGUAGUUGGUGGGGUAAAGGCCUACCAAGCCGACGAUCCAUAGCUGGUCUGAGAGGAUGAUCAGCCACACUGGGACUGAGACACGGCCCAGACUCCUACGGGAGGCAGCAGUGGGGAAUAUUGGACAAUGGGCGAAAGCCUGAUCCAGCAAUGCCGCGUGAGUGAUGAAGGCCCUAGGGUUGUAAAGCUCUUUUACCCGGGAAGAUAAUGACUGUACCGGGAGAAUAAGCCCCGGCUAACUCCGUGCCAGCAGCCGCGGUAAUACGGAGGGGGCUAGCGUUGUUCGGAAUUACUGGGCGUAAAGCGCACGUAGGCGGCUUUGUAAGUCAGAGGUGAAAGCCUGGAGCUCAACUCCAGAACUGCCUUUGAGACUGCAUCGCUUGAAUCCAGGAGAGGUCAGUGGAAUUCCGAGUGUAGAGGUGAAAUUCGUAGAUAUUCGGAAGAACACCCAGUGGCGAAGGCGGCUGACUGGACUGGUAUUGACGCUG
rnacentral:rRNA from 1 species